rnacentral:lncRNA from 1 species
GUAAGCACAUGUGCUUACAUUAAGAUUUUCUAUUCUUUACUGAAUUUUUGUAUUUUCCAAAUGUAAGUGCAGUGCUUACCUUUGAGAAAUUCCAGUAAAUAUUUCUGUAGAUUAGGCAUUUUUCUUAAAUUUAUGAAAGAUAGGAAUGUAUCCAUACUUAUUGACUAUAGGUAUUGGCAUCGCACGUGGCACAGCUAGAAAUAUAUUUUUGGCAAGCUUUUCAUAAUACUGCAGCAUAUCGAAAAAUAUCCAACAUGGUAUUUAGUCCCAUGUUCAUUCCUUUCAGCAUAAAACUUAUCCUCCCUAUUAGUAAAUUGAGAAUAACCCAGAUAUGUAACACUUUUGCGCACUUCAGUGCCAAACAAGAUGCUGAUACCUAUAGUGUUAAUAGGAAUGUAUUUUUAGUUUAUCUUCCAUAUUUUUUAAGAAAAACUAGUCCUUAUAAAUAUAUGCACCCUGCAUACUAUAUUACAUAACAUAUAUUAUAGAUUUGCUUAGUUAGUAGUAUUUUAUAUUCGAUUUCUUAAAUGUCUGAUUGUAAGAUGAGGAUUUUUGGUGGAAGUUUUGUCAUUUUUGAUGUAUUCUGCUAACACAUUAAAUGCUGCAUAGUUCAUGACAUAUUUUGUUGCUAGACUAUUUU